GACGAACGCUGGCGGCGUGCCUAAUACAUGCAAGUCGAGCGAAGCGGCGGAUGGGUGAGUUACGCGUGGGUAACCUGCCCUUAAGUAUGGGAUCCCAUUUGGAAACAGCUGCUAAUACCGGAUACUAAAGGAUGGACCUGCGAUGCAUUAGCUAGUUGGUAAGGUAACGGCUUACCAAGGCGAUGAUUCAUGCCGUAGUGGAUGGCCUGACCGGCCAAACUGGGACUGAGACAUGGCCCAAACUCCGAGGGGAGGCAGCAGUGGGGAAUCUUCCACAAUGGAUGAAAGUCUGACGGGCAAACGCAGCGUGAGGGAGGAAGGUUUGCGGAUCGUAAAGCUCUGUUGUUGGUAAAGCGGUAAUCAACCAGAAAGUCACGGCUAACUACGUGCCAGCAGCCGCGGUAAUUC
rnacentral:rRNA from 1 species